rnacentral:lncRNA from 10 species
GCGGUGCUGAGGCACAGGGUCUGCUGCAGGAGCAGCGGCCCGAACCCGCUCCAGCGGCCCGCCGCCGCCAGCGGUUCCCGCGUCGCGUGUGUACCCCCGCGCACUGAAGGAGGUCCGCCAGCCCUCACCAGCCCCCGCGGACCGUGCAAUGGCCCAGCGUAAGAAUGCCAAGAGCAGCGGCAACAGCAGCAGCAGCGGCUCCGGCAGCGGUAGCACGAGUGCGGGCAGCAGCAGCCCCGGGGCCCGGAGAGACAAAGCAUGGAGGACACAAGAAUGGGAGGAAAGGCGGACUCUCAGGAACUUCAUUCUUCACGUGGUUUAUGGUGAUUGCAUUGCUGGGCGUCUGGACAUCUGUAGCUGUCGUUUGGUUUGAUCUUGUUGACUAUGAGGAAGUUCUAGG